ensembl:snRNA U6 U6 spliceosomal RNA
UUCUUCUGUUCAGCAAGACAUAUACUAAAAUUGAAACAAUACAGAGAAGAUUGAUGUGGCCCCUGCGUAAAGAUGGCAUGCAAAUUCAUGGAGCAACCAGUUUUU